GCUACACGAGACUUUGGGUGCUAUUUUGUCAAUAUAAAACAGAAGUAUUGUUGUUUCCCACAUUAUUGAAUAGUUAUAGUCUAAAAACAAUUCAGAAAUCAUAUUUUAACAGUUCCGGAAGUUGUGAGACACCAAAAAGCAUCGAGUUUCAUUCUUUGAUGUUAAAAUAUCAAAAAUUGAUAACUCACGAAGCGAUUCGAAUGGUCCAUUGAAUUUCGUAGGAGAAAAAAACUACAGUAAAUAAAUACGCCUAACCUCCAUUCACAGUUCAUGUCGCCCUACUUGCAUGGAAUUCUCUACUCUUAGAUGAUAAUAACGAUGCACAACGAAUACAAAACGUGAUUCUCUUGCAGGGAAAUAAAUUUCAGAGCGCUGAGGGGUCGAUGGGCUAAUUCUUUCAUUAUUCACUCGAGUUGUCAAGAACCAAAUCCUGUGCUCCGUUCAUAUCCUCAAUCACUCAGUCAAGAUUCCUCGCACUCCUUCCCGAAGUGAUUGUCAGCAUCAAGAACAUUGCAGUGAUUAUCCCAUCGAAACAUUUACAGAUUUUCAAGAAAAAAUAGUUUCAAGAGUUCACACAUAGAGAAUCAGAUCCGAGAACUCAGAUCCUAGAAACCAGAUCCUAGAACACAAAUCGUAGAACUCAGGUCCUAGAACUCACAUCGAGUCGUACAGAAUCGGAGCCAGAAAUUUCAGAGUCCAGAAAUUUUCAACCGUAAAACCAGUCACGAGUCUUUUCAUACAGAUACUGAAACAUACAACCAAUACAAGAAUCCAACUUUCCAGAGAUUCAAAACCGAAAACUCAGUUUCAAGUUUUUGAAUACAGAUACGGAAACUUCCAUUUAAUAUGACAAAACACUAGAUAUUGAACGAAACAAAAUAGAUCGAGAUUUACUUGCAAUUGUAAUAACAGAAUAAACACGCUGAAUGUUUGAGUCCAAAGGUUCUAUUGAUAUUC